UGACGCCAGAGCCGCCCUCCCACGCACGGACUGCCAAGCCAAUUAGGCUGAGGUGAGGAGAGCCAAGAAGAGGACUGGAGUUCACAAGCCUGAAGGGCCUCCUGCCAACUUGAGGCAUUUCCCCCCAUAAAACUUUGGCGUUACUACUCCCUUCUUGGGGUCUACUUCUCAGGACUGGAAUGAACAUCUCAUGCAUCUACAGUUAUGAGAGUGUUGCCUAUUUCUACUUGGAAGACUGGACAAGAAACAAACUUUUUUUUGUAGAACACAGAGAAUCAACAAUUCAGUUUUAGAUAUAUUAGGUGCUAGAUAUCUAUUGUACACCUAAGUGAUAAUAUCAAAUAAGCAGUUGGUUAUAUAAGUCUAAGAGAUAUGUAAAGAGAUCAUAGCUAGAGAUGUAAUUGUGGAAAACAAAGUCACAAUACUGGAUGAGAUCUCUUAGGAAGAGAGACUAAACUAGGUAGAGCAUCCUGGAACAACCCUCAGGAAGACUCAAUAUUUAGAAAGAGAAGAAAGAAAGCAGAGCCAAGAAAGGAAACUAUGAGAAAGAAGGAAAGAGAAGAAUGCCCAGAGAAACCAAGAAAAGAGAAUGUUUCAUAUCUAAUGAAAUCAUCAAUUGUGUCAAAUACAGCUGAAAAGUCAUGUAAGAACAAAGAAAAAUGACCAUUAGGUUUGGCAACAUAGAGGUUAAUACUGAUUGUGAGAACUGUUUCAAUAGAGUACUGGGGCAGAAGGACCCAGGAGGGUUAAUAAGAGAAUAGAUAUAAAACAUAUAGAACAAUGGAAUAAAAUUGAGAGUCCAUAAGCCCAUAUAUUUAUGACCAUAUGUUUAUGAUCAGUUGAUUUUCAACAAGGAUGCCAAGACAAUGGCGAAAUAAUUGUCUUUUCAACAAGUAGUGUCGGAACAACUGAAUAUUGAUAUUCAAAGAAUGAAGUUGGACUCCUAUCACACACCCUAUAGAAAAUUCAUGGAUCAUACACCAAAAUUUAAGAGCUAAAACUAUAAAACUCUUAGAAGAAAACAUAGAAGUAGAUCUUUGUAACCUUAGAUUAAGCAAUGGUUCCUUAAAUACAAUACUAAAAGCACAACUGAUGGAAGAAAAAAUAAAUUGAACUACAUCAAAAUUACAAUCAUUUUUGCUGUGAUACCAUCAAGAAAGUGAAAAUACAAUCCAUGAAUGGGAUAAAAUAUAUCAUAUUACAAACCAUACAUUUCAUAAAGGCCAGUAUCCAUAAUAUAUUUUUUUAAAAGGCUUAAAUGUCAACAAUAAAAAGACAACCCAACUUAAAAGCAGGUAAAAGAUAUGAAUAAACACUUUUCACAAGAAGAUAUACAAAUAACUAAUAAGCACAUGAAAAGAUUCUCAACAUCAUUCGUCAUCAGGGGAGUGCAAAUCAAAUUAUAAUGAGAAUCCACACCCAUUAUGAUGGCCUGCAUCAAAAAGACAGACAAUAACAAGUGCUGACAAGCAUGUGGAGAAAGUGGAACUCUCACGCAUUGCUAGUGGGAAUGCAGAAUGAUGCACCUGCUUUGGGAAAUAGUUUUUCAGUUUCUCAGAGUAUCAGACAGUCACCAUAUACCCAAGAGAAAUGAAAGAAAAUUUCACAUAGAAACUUGCACACAAAUUUUCAUAGCAGCAUCAUUUAUAGCAGUCCCACUGUGGAAAUAACCCAAAUGUUUAUCAACUGAUGAAAGGAUAAAUAAAAUGAGACUUACCUGUAAAGUGGAAUAUCAUUUGACAAUAAAAAGAAAUGAAGUACUAAUGUUAUAACAGAAAUGACAAAUGUGGUGUUUCUGAGCCUGUUUCCUGUAUUAAAAUGUGAGUAAUGAUACUUUCUUCCAUCCAACUUCUGCACACAAAUAUUGAUGAAGGAAAUAGUUUGAAGUCCUUCAUAAACCACCAAGUACUUCCAUAUCUAGAAGAAGAACUUUUUGAACAUUUUAAUCAAAAAUUAAUAGGAAAAUACAGGUGAUUAACAGAGUACACUUACCUUUUC